GAACGCACAUUGCGCCCCUUGGUAUUCCGAGGGGCAUGCCCGUUCGAGCGUCAUUAUAACCCCUCAAGCCCAGCUUGGUGUUGGGGCCUGCUGUUGUCGGCAGCCCUUAAAAUCAGUGGCGGUGCCAUCUGGCUCUAAGCGUAGUAAUACUUCUCGCUACAGAGUCCCGGUGGAUGCCUGCCAUCAACCCCUAAAUUUCUAUGGUUGACCUCGGAUCGGGUAGGGAUACCCGCUAAACUUAAG
rnacentral:misc_RNA from 1 species